rnacentral:tRNA from 1 species
GGUAGGGUGGCCGAGUAGGCGGCGAGUUGUAGCCUCGUGCACGGGCGGCGACGUCCCCCAGC